rnacentral:rRNA from 1 species
UACGUAGGGUCCAAGCGUUAUCCGGAAUUACUGGGCGUAAAGGGUGUGUAGGCUGCGUGUUAAGUCAGAUGUGAAAUCCCGGGGCUCAACCUCGGAACUGCAUCCGAUACUGGCAUGCUAGAGAAUUGGAGAGGAGUCUAGAAUUCACGGUGUAGCAGUGAAGUGCGUAGAUAUCGUGAGGAAUACCAAGUGCGAAGGCAGGACUCUGGACAUUUUUCUGACGCUGAGACACGAAGGCUAGGGGAGCAAACGGG